GCCCAGCCGUUACAAAACAAUAAAAUAACCAAUUGUUCGCCAAAUAACUACGAGUAAAAACUUAAAAUUUAAAAGACUUGACGGUACUUCACACCAACCUAGAGGAGCCUGUCCAAUAACCGAUAAUCCACGAUUAACCCAACCCCCUCUAGCCCAACAGUCUAUAUACCGCCGUCGCCAGUUUACCUUGUGAAAGAAACAAAGUAAGCCUAAUAAUAACAAAUUAACACGACAGGUCGAGGUGUAACUAAUGAGGUGGACUAAGAUGGGCUACAUUUUCUCAACAGAAAAAACGAAUACCCUAUGAAACUAGAAACUGAAGGCGGAUUUAGCAGUAAGAUAAGAAUAAAAUACUUACCCGAAAUUAACGCAAUGAAGUGCGCACACACCGCCCGUCAUCCCUGUAAACACACCAAAAACAUCUAUAAACACUACCACUUUUUAAAGCAGGGCAAGUCGUAACAUGGUAAGCGUACUGGAAGGUGCGCUUAGAAA
rnacentral:rRNA from 1 species